rfam:Ceriporiopsis subvermispora B unplaced genomic scaffold CERSTscaffold_4, whole genome shotgun sequence.
GGCCGACUAGCUCAGUUGGUUAGAGCGUGGUACUAAUACACCGGAUAUGUUUGAAGGUGUCAUGCCAAGGUCGUCAGUUCGAUCCUGGCGUUGGCCA